AUUGAACGCUGGCGGCAUGCUUUACACGUGCAAGUCGAACGGCAGCGCGGGCUUCGGCCUGGCGGCGAGUGGCGAACGGGUGAGUAAUGCAUCGGAACGUGCCCAGUAGUGGGGGAUAGCCCGGCGAAAGCCGGAUUAAUACCGCAUACGACCUGAGGGUGAAAGCGGGGGACCGAGAGGCCUCGCGCUAUUGGAGCGGCCGAUGUCGGAUUAGCUAGUUGGUGGGGUAAAGGCUUACCAAGGCGACGAUCCGUAGCUGGUCUGAGAGGACGACCAGCCACACUGGGACUGAGACACGGCCCAGACUCCUACGGGAGGCAGCAGUGGGGAAUUUUGGACAAUGGGGGCAACCCUGAUCCAGCCAUGCCGCGUGCGGGAAGAAGGCCUUCGGGUUGUAAACCGCUUUUGUUCGGGAAGAAAUCCUCUGGGCUAAUACCCCGGGGGGAUGACGGUACCGGAAGAAUAAGCACCGGCUAACUACGUG
rnacentral:rRNA from 1 species